GGAAGGAUCAUUACCGAGUUGCGGCGAGUCCUCGGGCUCGCCUUUCUCUCCACACCGUGCGUACGCAUGUCAUUUACGUUUUACACAAAGGCAAAUGUGUCUAAACAACCGAAAAAAACUAAAGCAAAAACUUUCAACAACGGAUCUCUUGGUUCUGGCAUCGAUGAAGAACGCAGCGAAAUGCGAUAAGUAAUGUGAAUUGCAGAAUUCAGUGAAUCAUCGAAUCUUUGAACGCACAUUGCGCCCUCUGGCAUUCCGGAGGGCACACCUGUCCGAGCGCCGUCGCAACACUGAGCUGUACAGCUUGCGUUGGCGGACGACCCCCCGAGUCGCUCGGGGGGUCGCCGCCCAAACUUCGACGGCGCCGCACCGCGGCCGACUACGCGCACACGCAAGAGUUGGGACGGCGGAUAAGAGCGGCGGCCUUGUUUCACCACAAAGCUUGGCCUCGGAUCAGGUGGGGAUACCCGCUGAACUUAAGCAUAUCAAUAAGCGGAGGAAAAGAAACCAACAGGGAUUGCCUCAGUAACGGCGAGUGAAGCGGCAUCAGCUCAGAUUUGAAAUCCGGCCCCCCGGCCCGAGUUGUAAUCUGCAGAGGAACGUUCGGCAGAGGCGCCGGUCCAAGUCUCCUGGAACGGAGCGUCGCAGAGGGUGAGAGCCCCGUACGCGGCCGGCAGCCGACGCCGUGUGAACGUCCUUCGACGAGUCGAGUUGUUUGGGAAUGCAGCUCAAAGCGGGUGGUAAAUUCCAUCUAAGGCUAAAUACCGGCCAGAGACCGAUAGCGCACAAGUAGAGUGAUCGAAAGAUGAAAAGCACUUUGGAAAGAGAGUUAAACAGUACGUGAAAUUGUUGAAAGGGAAGCGCUCGCGACCAGACUCGAGCGGGGAUGCUCAGUCCGUCUCACGGCGGGCGCACUCUUCUCCGCUCGGGCCAGCAUCGGUUCGGGCGGCCGGACAAAGUCGCGGGGAACGUGGCCUCCCCCGGGAGGUGUUACAGCCCCGCGAACAAUACGGCCAGCCCGGACCGAGGACCGCGCAUCUUGCCAGGAUGCUGGCGUAAUGGUCGCUAGCGGCCCGUCUUGAAACACGGACCAAGGAGUCUAACAUCCGUGCGAGUGUCAGGGUGUCAAACCCUCGCCGCGAAAUGAAAGUGAACGGAGGUGGGAGCUUCGGCGCACCAUCGACCGAUCUGGACGCUCUGCCGAAGGAUUUGAGUAAGAGCACGGCUGUUGGGACCCGAAAGAUGGUGAACUAUGCGUGAAUAGGGCGAAGCCAGAGGAAACUCUGGUGGAGGCUCGCAGCGGUUCUGACGUGCAAAUCGAUCGUCAAAUUUGCGUAUAGGGGCGAAAGACUUAUCGAACCAUCUAGUAGCUGGUUCCUGC
rnacentral:misc_RNA from 1 species